UGAAAUAGUGUUCGAUGUCUGUUCUUC
rnacentral:piRNA from 1 species